rnacentral:rRNA from 1 species
UACGAAGGGGGCUAGCGUUGCUCGGAAUCACUGGGCGUAAAGCGCACGUAGGCGGCUUCUUAAGUCAGGGGUGAAAUCCUGGAGCUCAACUGCAGAACUGCCUUUGAUACUGAGGAGCUCGAGUCCGGGAGAGGUGAGUGGAACUCCGGUGUAGAGGUGAAAUGCGUAGAUAUUGGGAGGAACACCCAGGGGGAAAGCCGCCUACUGGGCCGGUGCUGACGCUGAGGCGCGAAAGCGUGGGGAGCAAACGGG